rnacentral:lncRNA from 1 species
GACUAAAAGGGGCCAUCUCAGGCCUGCACGCCAGUCUCCUGGGCGUGCAAAUUCCUCCGGCCAUCAGGAAACACAAUGGCUGCCAAGCUGAUAGGCCCCGAGGAGACCAGAGGGUGAGGAUUUGGAAAGAGGUGGUGUUGGCCCCGGCCUAGGCCAGCCAAGAAAGCCAAGAAAGGUGAUUCGCCAGUCACAGAGUAAGCGAGCGGGUGAGGGCUGACAAGCCCUGUGGAGAAAAGCAAAGCAGACUUUCAGAGCAGUCACAGACUGCCAUUGCCACCACCACCCGAGUCCUCUGGAGCACCCCCAGCAUUCAUGUUUUCAAAGAAUUUUGCCAGCCCAAAGUGGGUCAGGCACUGAAACCCAAAGGGAAACUCAGCAGACCCCGGCUCCCAUGUAGUCAACCUGAAGAUAACGCUGACUUUCCGGGGGGAUGAGUGGCUUCAGAAACCUGCCCCACGAUACUCAGAAUUGCAGUUACCCUGAGCCAUCUGCUUUCUGAAAAGAACAGGGUUUGAAGGUGGCUGUGAAAGCCACCAAGUUAUGUGGGGCACUGCUUUGCCUUCCCCAACAAGUGUGUCAGCCUCAACUCUGGGACUUGCGGGUGAUCCAGUGGGGUAGAGGGAGAGCAGUUUCUCGUGCCAUGAGCUUCUUCAACAGCCAUGACUUCAUUCUUUGGCCACGACCCAUAGUAAGAAAUCCAUUCUACAUCAUAACCCAGCACACCCACACGUGUAAACAGACAUAUAAAUAACUGAAAAAUGGUUGUUCUUCGAGUGAAACAAUACUUACCUUUACUGCAUGUGGUGAUACACUGGCAUUUCUUAUGCUAUUUCCUUUUUCUUUUUAAUGCUUGUUGAAACCCAGUAAAUUGAUUUCACAACUCAAUAAAGGGUUAGGAUAUGCAAUUUUGAACAAUUCCAGCUCUGCCACCUAUCAGCUGUGUGACCUGGGGCAAGUUACUUAACCUCUCUGUGCCUCAGUUACCUCAUCUCUAAGGAGGGGAUAAUAAUACCUACAUCAGUGAGUUGUUCAGCAGAUCAAAGAAAUAUUUGAAAAGUACCUAUAAAGCACUUAACAGUAACCCCCUCCAAAUUUCCAUUGAGGGAAACUGAAGCUCUGAAAGGAAAGCAACUUGCCCAGUGUUGCCCUGCUGGUAAAAUGCAUCACCCAGCCUGGUACAGUAGCUAAGAGCUGGAGCACUAGAGCAGGACCACACAGGCUCAGAUCCCAGCUCUGCCACUUUCUUAGCACGUGGCCUCAGGCCCAUGUCCUUAACCAUAAUGCCCUACCAAGUUUUCUGUGGCAUAAAAGAGGAUCACGUUCACAUUAAUUCCUCACUCUACAGAAAACUAAGAUGCCCCUGACUUGUCCCGUUCAACUCCAGUUAUUCUGGUUUCCCCUGAGGCUGCCAACUCAGAUAGCAGGUUGGAUCCCCAUCCCUUCAGUUAUAGGUGCACUGAAAGACAGUGGGCCUUCCUGUGCAUCAGCCCCAGUGACGGAUCCUGGAGACACCAUGGUGAGCAAACCCAACUAGGAAGCUUACAAUUCAGUAUGGAGGAAGACAUUAAAAAAAUACUCAAACUCAUUAUUUCAACAAACAUUUAUUGAGCACCUGCUAAGUGCCAGGCACUGUGGCAGGCCUGCAGGAAUACAGUGGUGAAUGAAAGCAGACCAUGUCCCUACCCCUCACGGAGCUUACAGUCUAGCGGGGCAGAGAGUCAUCCAGCAACCCCCUAAUAAAGAUAUAACUACAAACUGCGAUCAGUGCCUUUAGAAAAGGAAAGAAUGCCCUAGAAUAAGGGUCCCUGGCCCAAUCUACAGGGUCAGGCAGGGCUUACUUAAGGAUGCUGAAAAGCAAAACGAUCAAGUGGAGAUGCCGAGUUUGGAUACAUGAAGCUAAGGGAAGAGCCAGGAGAAAGAGAAGGGCCAGAGAGUUAAGAGGAAAACCAGCAGAGUGUGGUCUCAAGGCAAGGGAAGACAAAGUGUUUUAAGUAGGAGUGGUCAACCACUUCAAGAGGAAAACUAAAAAACCACCUGCAGAAUCUGGCAGAUGCCGGGGGCUAACACUUACGGGGGUGAGCAAGUGCAGAAGGCAAGUACAGGCAACUCUGCAGGGGUCAGCAGUGAAGGGGAGGGUGAUGAGGUGCUGGCCAGAAGCAGGAGGGAGAGAACGUGGGGUCAGCGGAGACAGAAGGGAUGCUGGCACAGGCAAAGGUGAAUAGAGGAUCAAGCAAGGAGGGCAGCAGAAAACCUGCCAGGAGAGAAAAGGUGACUGAUGAUGUCAGAUUCUAGAGCAAGUAGCAGAAACUGGGACCCAGAGCACAGGAGGGAGAAGUGGCCUGAGCAAGAAGGGACUCCUCGUCAUCUGUAACACAGGGGAGGGAAAUCAGCGUGCAGACUUGGGGGCCACAAGUUAUAGGGAGUUCCAUUCUUAUGGCUUCUGUUUUGUUUUUUGAAGCAGGAGAGAAAGUCUGAAGGUAAAGAACAUUUGAAAGAGUCACUUCAGAGGAGAAACGAGUGGAUCAAAAAAAUAUAGUAGAACUGCUAGGCAGGGUGGCCGAUGACCCCUCGACUGGUGGCGAUGUUCAUCUGCUCUGCCAUGGGACAUUCUCUAACAAAGCUUAGCACGUGCUGGGCUGAUGAGUGCUAUGAAAAAGCCAGGGGCCCGAGGACACUGGGGUGGACAGGCUCCCCUGGGGAAGUCCUCUUAGAACUGAGGGAUCAACACUGGAGGAGACUGCAAGGGGUACGGGAUAAAUGUUCCUGGUGAAGGAAACAGCAGGGGCAAAGGCCCUGCAGCAGAAAGGAGCGAGGCCCUUUGGAGUAACAGAAAGACCAUGGUGACAGGAGCUCAGAAAGACCACUGGUGUUAAGACUAUGAGCCAGUGGAGGCCAGAUUGGGGAAUGGGAUGGGAGGGUGCUUGAAGACCAUGGUGAGGCUCUCUUGGUCUUUACUUUUAAGAAGAAUAGGACACUUCCAAAGGGUAGUGUCAAGUGCCAAGGAAGAUCAGGAGGGCUUUUCCCCACACCAGCCCUAGGACUUUGGACUCUGGGAGCCUCAGUUUGCUCAUCCAGGAAAGAGAAAUUUAAAACCCUCUACUUCACAGGGAAUGUUGUCGGAAUUAAACCAGACCUUGCAUGAAAAUAUAGUACUCAGUGAAGUGCCUGGCGAAGAGCAGGGGCUCAGCCAGGUCUCAUACAACAAAUCCUCUGUACUCCAUCCCACAAGCCCUGUGACAUCUUAGGACCACUCUGCAUCUCUUUCCCUGCUGGAACCUAGCACUGUGCCCAGCACACAGUAGGCAGUCAAUAAAUGCUUGUCGAUGAAUCAUCUCUAAGCUUUAGAGUUACCAAAUGCCUGGUCCAGCAACCCAGGGAAAGCAGCCAUUUGGGUUUCUGAACUCUAUCCUGAUGGCUACCACGGACUUCUCCCAUGCCCUCACCUGAUGUGGCUGUGCUCAGUGCACAGAGGGCCUACAGCCAACAUUUCCUCAACAGGAAGCCCUCUGAUAGGGCUCCCACAGGUAAGGGAUAUACCCUGAGAUCCUCCGCCAUUUCCCAAGAGGGCUAGGUCACAAAGGGUGGCUAGUCUUCAACAGUGCUGCAAGUCACUGGCAGCACACAGGUUCUAAAACAAUAAUAUGUUGAAAUGUACUCACCAAGAAAGCCACCGACCUACAAAGAAACCCUUAUCGCUGAUCUUGCAAUGAGCACCAACCUCCCCUUUGCAAGAGCUGAGAUCGAAAGAUAAAGAAGCUAUCAAAAAGCCAUCUGCCCACUUAAAAUAAUAUCACAAGUCAUGUUAGGAACCACAGACCUGGGGCCAGAUACCAAAACAAUUGUCUGAACAGGCUGCUUCAAUUUCUCCUUAAAACCGCCCAUGUAUGUUAAAAGAAAAACACCCUCUCCACCCACCUUGGCCCUGCAAGGUUUUGAUUUCUCUGUUCUCUGCCUUUCACACUCUUUAAAAUGACCAAACUCCUUUACCCAAACUGUCGCAUCUUACAGACAGGGUUCCCAUGACAGCCGGCGGGGAUGACAGCUUGGGAAAGUGAUAGAAAUGAAGGUAGCUCUGGGGUACUGGACCUGCUCAGUAUCUUCAUCUGGGUGGUGGCUACACAAGUGCAUACAUAUGUACAAAUCCACUGGGCUAUACACAGAAUAUCAGUACACUUUAUGUAGGUAUACCUCGAUAAAGCAAAAAAAAAAAAAAAGGUAAAAGGAAAGCACGACAUGCUGGGAACACCAAGAGUGAAAUCCAGAAUUUGCCCUGAAUCAUGCCACGCUUUCUAGAGGACCAGUUUAAAAAAAAAAAAUAGAAAAAAAUAAAUGUCCCUAGCAUUUCUUCCCUGGCCCUGUCACUCACUAGCUGAGAGGCUUUGAGCAAGCUGGCUCAUCUCUCUGAGCUACCUGUCUCCCCUCUACUAAAUGGGGAUAAUCAUAGCACCUACACAACACAGCAUGCACAGCAGGCCUCACGGAGAGAAUGGAUCUGAUGUUCAUAGCACAGAAAUCAGUAAAUGCUGGCCAGUUAUCUUUUGCAGUUACCACCAUGCUUCAGUUACCUUGCCCAUGUUUGCUGCAUUCAAUCCAACCAUGCAAAGUGACUGUCAUUUCCCUUAGCAGAGAAGGAAACGGAGGCAAGGCCACACAGCUGAUGGGCGGAGCCGAAUUUAGGAGAGGAAUCCAGGAAACUGUAGGUGUGGCUCCCUAAAUACUGACACUAGCUAACACCUGUAUGAUACUACUUUGAGCCAGACUCGGUUCUGAGCACCUUUACUCUUAUCCCGUAAAGUAGAUGCUAUAAUUCUGUUUUACAGGUGAGGGUCCUGAGGCAUGGUGUAGUUAAAUGCGUUGGCCAAGGUCACAAGGCCAGUAAGUGGCAGCGCCAGGAUUUGAACCCAGGCAAUCUAUGCCAGAAUCCACACUCUUAAUGCUGUAAGAAAAACCAUGCUGCCUGCCCCCUUUAAAUGAAGUCUCAGAUUAUGGUGGGGCUCACAGGUGGGUGAGUGGGUACCUGCCUGCCUGCUCAGUUACCCAGGCACAUCUGCCCACCAGACCGGAGCUAGACCUUUCUGAACCACUCACAGCCUAAGGCCUUACCAGAACCAGCAGAACCCACAAAUGUCUUACUGCAGCCAGGGGCUUCUGACCAAGCGUAUACAUACAAGGUCCAAAAAGCAUUUUCCCAUUUCCAUUCCCAGUCCUCCCAGGAACAGGGAAAUGUAUACAUUUUAGGGAGAAUCUAGUGAUCCUGGGCCAGACUUAGGUGACCGCAAAAAGAAUCAGGACUAGCUGCUGCCCUUAAAGAACUCAUAGCUUGAUAGAGGAAACCUAGGGAAAUCUUCUGGGGCCCCCUGGGGUAUAACUGAUUAUUUCUCCCUGUCCCUAAAUGAUCACAGGUGGUGUGGCAAAAAAACAAGGGACAAAAACUUCAAGUCCAGUACCCAUCUGGUUCUGUCUCUCUGCUAGAGCCACUGCUUUCUUGUGAGAGCAUGGGCUCAGCCCCUCGCCUCCACAGGACUCAAAAGUAGAUUACAGCGUUAACAGUAGAGUGCACAGGCUUCAAGGUCAGGCAUGGGUGAACUGGAAGAGCCAGGUGCCAUCACUGCCUCAACCAGUUUCUCCACCUCUGGAAUCCUGGUUUCCUGCUCUGUCAGAAAGAGAAUCUGCUCUACCCCCCACUGGCAAAGCCCUUGGUCCACACUAUGUCAUUGCAGUUCUCUCCACUCCAGCACACUGCUGAUCAUUCACACCAAGCUCAUUUCCACCCCAGGACCUUUGCACUUGCUGUUUCCUCUACCUAGAACACCCUUGUUCCAUAUAUGCACAUAACUGUUAUUCAUCAUCCAGGACUUAGUUUAAAUGAAACCUCCUCAGAAAAGUCCUCCCUGUUCCUUUUCCUACAAACUCUCCCCCACCUCCCCACCGUAUCUGCAUAACUCUUCUUUAUCAUCAUUCGGGACUCACCUCCUCAAAGGCCCUCCCUUUAACAGCAUGUCUGACACAGUCAUUCCCUCCCAAUCUAUCCCCUUACUCCCUUCAGCAGCUAACUUUGUCCCUAUUUAUCCUAUCUGCUUGCUUGCUUGUUUUUUCAAACUGUCUCCCAUAGGAGCCUGUAUGAAUCCUUGAGGGUAGGGUAGAUGUCUGUCUUGUUCAGGGCUUUACAGUGGAACUCAAUAAAUGGAGGAAUAAAACCCCAGUUAAAACAGUGCCUAGCACGUGUUUGACCUCCAUCACUCUUUGACUGACUGACUCAAUGCACCCUCCUCCCUGUCCUGGAGAGCAGGCCUGAGGGGUUCCUGGGCCGGAAUGCUUGUCCUCCAUCCCAGACACAGCCCUGCGUUGGCGGAGGUGGCGCUGGCUGACAUUACCUGCGCCUCACCGGCUUCAUGCAGCUCUUCAGCUGCCUGGCCUCAGCCUCCACGGGACCCUGGCACUCGGGCUGUGGCUCCAGCUGCGGCAGCUGCUGCUGCUGGGGCAGCCCUUCGGCAUCAGUGGGUGUGGGAGCGGAUGCCUGGCCGGGACCCAGGCCGAGCCCCGGAUCCAGGAUGGGAUCUCCUGC